GACAUAGGUGGCGAACGUUAUCCGGAAUUAUUGGGCGUAAAGGGUGCGUAGGCGGCCGUGCAAGUCUGGCGUGAAAGCCCGGCUCAGCCCGGGAAGUGCGCUCGAAACUGCGCGGCUCGGAGUGCCGGAGGGGAGAGUGGAAUUCCUGGUGUAGGCGGUAGAAAUGCGUAGUAUAUCAGGAGGAAUACCGGUAGGCGAAAGCGGACUCUCGUGGACGGCAACGUGA
rnacentral:rRNA from 1 species